GACCGCGUAGCUCAGUUGGCAGAGCAUUGGGCUAGUAUUCCAAAGGUCGUAGGUUCGAAUCCCGCCGUGGCCA